rnacentral:rRNA from 1 species
UACAGAGGUGGCAAGCGUUGUUCGGAAUUACUGGGCGUAAAGGGCGCGUAGGCGGCCUUGUAAGUCCUGUGUGAAAUCCCCCGGCUCAACUGGGGAACUGCACAGGAGACUGCUUGGCUUGAGUUCGGGAGAGGGAAGCGGAAUUCCGGGUGUAGCGGUGAAAUGCGUAGAUAUCCGGAGGAACACCGGUGGCGAAGGCGGCUUCCUGGACCGACACUGACGCUGAGGCGCGAAGGCUAGGGGAGCAAACGGG